GACGAACGCUGGCGGCGUGCUUAACACAUGCAAGUCGAACGGAAAGGCCCUGCUUUUGUGGGGUGCUCGAGUGGCGAACGGGUGAGUAACACGUGAGUAACCUGCCCUUGACUUUGGGAUAACUUCAGGAAACUGGGGCUAAUACCGGAUAGGAGCUCCUGCUGCAUGGUGGGGGUUGGAAAGUUUCGGCGGUUGGGGAUGGACUCGCGGCUUAUCAGCUUGUUGGUGGGGUAGUGGCUUACCAAGGCUUUGACGGGUAGCCGGCCUGAGAGGGUGACCGGCCACAUUAGGACUGAGAUACGGCCCAGACUCCUACGGGAGGCAGCGGUGGGGAAUAUUGCACAAUGGGCGGGAGCCUGAUGCGACAACGCCGCGUGCGGGAUGACGGCCUUCGGGUUGUAAACCGCUUUCGCCUGUGACGAAGCGUGAGUGACGGUAAUGGGUAAAGAAGCACCGGCUAACUACGUG
rnacentral:rRNA from 1 species